AACGCACAUUGCGCCCCUUGGUAUUCCGAGGGGCAUGCCUGUUCGAGCGUCAUUACAACCCUCAAGCAUUGCUUGGUAUUGGGCCCCGCUGCUCACCCAGCGGGCCUUAAAAUCAGUGGCGGUGCCGUCGAGGCCCUGAGCGUAGUAAAUAUCCUCGCUAUAGGGACUCGGUGGACGCUGGCCAUCAACCCCCAAUUUUCUAAGUUUGACCUCGGAUCAGGUAGGGAUACCCGCUGAACUUAA
rnacentral:misc_RNA from 1 species